CCCCAACUAUCCCUAUUAAUCAUUACGGUGAUUCAGAAACCAACAAAACAGGACCACCGUCCUAUUUUAUUAUUCCAUGCUAAUGUAUUCAGACGUAAGCCUGCUUUAAACACUCUAAUUUUUUCAAGGUAAAGGUCCUGGUUUCCUACCACGCUAAAUUAAUAACAUGAUAGUUCCCCAGAAGGUAGAAAUUCUACACGCCAGUACAGACAAAAGCCCGACCAACGGUAGAACCCCGAAAUUCAACUACG
rnacentral:rRNA from 1 species